UACAGAGGGUGCGAGCGUUAAUCGGAAUUACUGGGCGUAAAGCGUGCGUAGACGGCUAUCUAAGUCGGGUGUGAAAGCCCCGGGCUCAACCUGGGAAUUGCAUUCGAGACUGAAUAGCUAGGGUACGGUAGAGGGAAGCGGAAUUUCCGGUGUAGCGGUGAAAUGCGUAGAUAUCGGAAGGAACACCAGUGGCGAAAAGCGGCUUCCUGGUCCAGCACCGACGUCAGGCACGAAAGCGUGGGGAGCAAACAGG
rnacentral:rRNA from 1 species